CUCGGAGUUUGAUCCUGGCUCAGAUUGAACGCUGGCGGCAGGCCUAACACAUGCAAGUCGAGCGGUAGAGAGAAGCUUGCUUCUCUUGAGAGCGGCGGACGGGUGAGUAAUACCUAGGAAUCUGCCUGAUAGUGGGGGAUAACGUUCGGAAACGGACGCUAAUACCGCAUACGUCCUACGGGAGAAAGCAGGGGACCUUCGGGCCUUGCGCUAUCAGAUGAGCCUAGGUCGGAUUAGCUAGUUGGUGAGGUGAUGGCUCACCAAGGCUACGAUCCGUAACUGGUCUGAGAGGAUGAUCAGUCACACUGGAACUGAGACACGGGUCCAGACUCCGUACGGGAGGCAGCGAGUUGGGGGAAUUUGGACAAGUGACGCAAGUCUGAUCCAGCCAUUCCGCGUGCAGGACCGAAGGUCCUU
rnacentral:rRNA from 1 species